rnacentral:rRNA from 1 species
CAGCCGCCGCGGGAAUACGAAGGGUGCAAGCGUUAAUCGGAAUUACUGGGCGUAAAGCGUGCGUAGGCGGUGAGUUAAGUCUGCUGUGAAAUCCCCGGGCUCAACCUGGGAACUGCGCUUGUGACUGCACAGCUAGAGUAUGGCAGAGGGGGGUGGAAUUCCACGUGUAGCAGUGAAAUGCGUAGAGAUGUGGAGGAACACCGAUGGCGAAGGCAGCCCCCUGGGCCAAUACUGACGCUCAUGCACGAAAGCGUGGGGAGCAAACAGGAUUAGAUACCCCUGUAGUCCCUGUCUCUUAUAC